rnacentral:rRNA from 1 species
GACGAACGCUGGCGGCGUGCUUAACACAUGCAAGUCGAACGGUAAGGCCCUUCGGGGUACACGAGUGGCGAACGGGUGAGUAACACGUGGGUGACCUGCCCUGCGCUUCGGGAUAAGCCUGGGAAACUGGGUCUAAUACUGGAUAGGACCCUGGGAUGCAUGUCCUGGGGUGGAAAGCUUUUGCGGUGUGGGAUGGGCCCGCGGCCUAUCAGCUUGUUGGUGGGGUGAUGGCCUACCAAGGCGACGACGGGUAGCCGGCCUGAGAGGGUGACCGGCCAAACUGGGACUGAGAUACGGCCCAGACUCCUACGGGAGGCAGCAGUGGGGAAUAUUGCACAAUGGGCGCAAGCCUGAUGCAGCGACGCCGCGUGAGGGAUGACGGCCUUCGGGUUGUAAACCUCUUUCAGCACCGACGAAGCGCAAGUGACGGUAGGUGCAGAAGAAGGACCGGCCAACUACGUGCCAGCCGCCGCGGUAA